GUGAGGAAUAUUGGGCAAUGGGCGGAAGCCUGACCCAGCCAUCCCGCGUGCAGGAAGAAGGCCUUAUGGGUUGUAAACUGCUUUUCUGCGGGGAGAAUAACCUUGACGAGUCAGGGGAUGACGGUACCGCAGGAAUAAGCAUCGGCUAACUCCGUGCCAGCAGCCGCGGUAAUACGGAGGAUGCGAGCGUUAUCCGGAUUCAUUGGGUUUAAAGGGUGCGCAGGCGGUGUUCCGAGUCAGUGGUGAAAUUCUGCCGCUUAACGGUAGGUGUGCCAUUGAUACUGGGGUGCUUGAGUGCGGUUGAAGCAGGCGGAAUGUGCGGUGUAGCGGUGAAAUGCAUAGAUAUUGCACAGAACGCCGAUUGCGGAGGCAGCUUGCUAAGCCGCCACUGACGCUGAGGCACGAAAGCGUGGGGAUCGAACAGGAUUAGAUACCCCAGUAGUCC
rnacentral:rRNA from 1 species